rnacentral:sRNA from 1 species
AGUUGACUUUUAAUCAAUUGGUCGCAGGUUCGAAUCCUGCACGACCCACCACUAUUAAGUCUGGUGAAGCGUUUUAACGUGAAGGAUAACGUUGCGACAGCAACGGCCCGUAGGGCGAGGCGAAAGCCGAGUCAUCCUGCACGACCCACCA